UUUUACAGAUAUGGUUCUACUAACAAUGACAUUUAAAAUUGUAAUGGUAAGAAACUUUAAAUUAAUUUUAAGAAAAGGUAUUGAAAGGACAGAGUUGUAGGUAUGAAAAUGUGCUGGAGACACUUCUUGAUAUUCCGUUGAAUAGAUACAAAAGAACUUCACUCACCUAACAAUAUUUUGAAUUAAUUUUGCUUUCCAUUCCAUCCGACAAAUAACAUUCGAUUGAAAUCAAAUCCUAAGAACGAUUGUAUCUAAUACUGUGAAUAGUUAACAAAGGUACCAGGAUUAUAAUUUAGUACGCCAGACGCGCGUUUCGUCUACAUAAGACUCAUCAGUGACGCUCAUAUCAAAAAAGUUAUAACCCAAACAUAUACAAAGUUGAAGAGCAUUGAGGAUCCAAUAUUCUAAAUAAGUUGUGUGAAAGUACUUUGAUUCGUGGGUAUUCAUUUUCGUUGUUUAAGCAACAUUAUUGGUGCAAGAAAAUUGGUACCGUUAAUUUAAUUACAUGUUGUUCGUGGGUGUUUAAAUUCGUGGAUUUUAUUUUUCUUAAAAAAACCUUGAAAAAUUGAAGCCAUUAGAAACGAAUGAUACAUAUUGUCUGGAUUCAAGCAAAUUGAAAAGUAAACAUUAACCCUUCUAAAUCGUAGUGACCACAGUAAUCAACCCGAUAUAAAGGGAUCAACAGAUGUAAGACCACCAAAGGUAUUUAUUAUGCCAUAACCAUGUAACCUUAAGUAAACAGUUACACAAUGGUAAAAAAAUUCUAAUCAAAAGCAAGCCCAGCAUGAAAUUAUUAUUUCCCAUAAGUAAAAAGUUAUGAGGAUAUGAAAUUAACACUUUAUCAUAGCAUAUCAGUUCCGGUAAUCUGACUUUCAUCAAUCAAAAAUAUUUUUUCAAGAUCGUAACGUUUAGGUUUUUAAAGAUUCCAUGCCUAAAAUCCGGUUUGCAGUUGUAGUUCAUGAUGCGUUUGCCUAGUGAUAAUUUUUUAGUAUUCUCAGUUUGGACAAUAUUUUAUAUAUACAAUCAGUAGUCAAACCUAAAUGGGGAUCUUUCCAUGUCUUGACUUGGACAAUCGUUGUUUUAUUUCGUUGGACCUUAAAUUCGUGGAUAAAGUCAUCAACAAAAACCACGAAAAUUGGUUCCCAACUAAUAAAAGUACUUUUAAAGUACUUAUGUAGACGAAAAGUGCGACUUGUAAACUGAUCAUAAGCGUCUUACCUUUGAUAAUUAUUAACAUCACUAGCACUGCUGAUUGACGUUUCGUCCCUGAGGGUAUCACCAGCCCAGUAGUCAACACUUCGGUGUUGACAUGAAUACCAAUAAUGUGGUAUUUGUAUAAAUUUACUGUUUGCAAAAGAAUAAAUUAUUCGGAAUAGUAAAUAUUUUCUUAUCCCAGACAUAGAUAACCUAAGCCGUAUUUGACACCUUUUGGAAAUUUGGACCUCAAUACACUUCAGGUGUAUAAUCGAUUGUCUUUCCUCCUUUUCCUUAUCUGAGGAGUUCUGUUAUACGCAAUCAGCAUGUUGAUAUUCAUGUAAAAUAAAAAUAAAUGUUAACAUACGAAAAUAACAUCUUAUAUAAUCGGUGGAAAACACCUUGAGUAGCAUUUCAUUUGGUGUUUGCGUAUUUUUUUAAUAUCAUACAACAUUUCAUACAUACAUUUGUAACUCAAACGUAAAAAAGGGUAAAUAACAUGUUUUUUUUCUGUAUGAAAAAAUACUUGAAGUAAGGAAAGCAUUGCGUGUGUUUGUACCACUAAAAAUGUAGGAAUAAGACUUUGAUUCUACAUAGAAUUUGUAUCAGUUAAAAACAUGUAACAGCAAUAUAACAUUAUAAGUUAUGUACAAUUUAUCGUCAUUUUCAAUUGAAUAGGAUAGUAAGUUUUCCUAUCGCAUGUCGGUGGUUUUCUGCGGACACACCGGCUUCCUCCAUCAAUAACAAAUGUCCGCUACGAAAUACCCUAAACGCGAUGCUUGAAAGUGACGUUAAUACAUCUAAUCAGAUAACUGUAAUUCUAGAAUUUUUUUAUGUUAAUUAGAUUCACUAUUGUUAAUUCAUGUAUAUAUGUAUCAUUACAGAUUUGUUUUCUUGGAAUUAUAAAUGGCUUUUUGAGGUUAGAUCGACAAUGCCCACAUUCAUCUCAAAGAAAAUUUCGUAUUUGGAGUGAAUGCAAAAGUAAUUCUACUAUAUACAACUGCUUGUACAAUACUAACAACAAAACCUAUAUUGAAUUUUGUGCAAACAAUCAGAAAACAAGAAAAGGUACGUAUUUUUUUCAAUCGCACCAUAUAUUUAGAUACAUUAUGUAAAUAUUUCAAACUGUUUAACGAUUGUUUAAAUGAUUUUAUUUUUUAAAAAAAUCAUUCGUGGCAGUAAUUUCAUUAAUUUCACCAUUUGAAUAAGUUUAUAUAUUGUAGAAUAUGUCAAUUUUUAUUAUCAGCUUUUUCCUUUUGAUUGAUAUUACUUUUACUGCUUCUAAUUUGCCGUUGAUUCACAGUUGGUGCCAAAUGUGCGUGUAUGCAGUUAGCCAAAAAAACUGACAUUUAAUGAAAUAUUGUUGUUAAAACACAUUUCCAAAUGCAUUAGAUUUUAACCGCACAAUUUAGUUCUGCAUAAGGUCUUAUUGUCUUAUUUUUUCCCUCAUUUUUCUAGUAAUACUUUAAUUAGACAUAUAUUUCGUACAAGAAAUUGUAAGAAGGUUUGAAUUAUCAGGUGAAGCACUUGGACUUGAUUAAGGCGGUUUAAUGAGGUAUUAGUUUUCUUCAGCUGUUUUUGUUGUUGCAUAUAAUGACAGAGUAGUAAAGACACAAACCGUUUAUAUACUAAUUUUGUUUGAUUGUGUAUGGUUUUUUUUUGUGACAAGUAGGAUAAAUUAAUAUUAUUAUGGGAAUAAAAAAGCUCGAAGACAAGUUUAACCGCAUCUGAUGUCACUGUUCGUAGUGUGAAACAUAAUUGGUGUUCGUCUUUUAGCAGUUUUAAAUUGUUUCUGAAAGGUAUUUUGUUAUUUUUGUACACACGGAAUUAUUUACUGUGGACUCAUUAUUAUUCGUUGGAUACCAAUUUUCGUGGAUUUCGUGGGACCAGUUGAAACACGAAAUUAAAUGUUCAACGAAUGACAAAUUUUCUUUUUGCCUGUAUGGAGACUUCGGCAAAACCACGAACUCAAAUAUCCACCAACAUGUAAGUUUUCCUUAAUCCAUGAAAAUUGGUUCCCACGAAUAUAAAUGAAUCCACAGUAUAGAGAUUGAUAUUAAUUUCUAAACAUUAGGUUUUGUCGCAUUGAAAUAUACUCUAUAAUUUCAUAUUCAUCUUCUUUUUGAUUUACUCUCCUUCUUCUACAGACUAUAUCUUUUGUGGAUUGUGGUCUUCUAGUUCUCAUUUGAUAUUCGUUUGUUUAAAAAUAGCAUAUGUUGUUGCAUGUCCCUAUGAGGGAACACUGAAAGAAACCGAAGCAAAGAAAUUAAAGUUACAUUAGCAGUGUGUCAAAAUUGUUGAUCGAUAUGUACAAAUUUUCAUCCAUAUACUUGUAAUUUUGCUGAAUCAAGCAUAUCUAUUGAAAAUGUAUUACUAGUAUUGUUAUUUUCUUUGUAGGGUUGAAAUAUGUUAUCUCUGGGACUUUUAGAAAUGUAAGGUGUUCUGAGGAGAGAUAUCAGCCUUUCACAUUUUGGUCAAAUCGAAGCGCUGAUUGUUAUUUAAGAAGUCACCAUGCAGUGAUACUGGACAAAUUGUUUUUAAAAACGGGUCAACUAUUACCGAUUCUAGAUGUCGAUGUGAUAGCACAAGGAAUUACGCCUUUGUAUCUCCACCACAAAAUCCGUGUUUCUGCACUCCAUCUGUCGAAGACUGCUCAUGUUAUAUUAAACAGUGUCCGUACAAUACCACAUUAUCUUCUG
rnacentral:lncRNA from 1 species